UACGUAGGGUGCGAGCGUUAAUCGGAAUUACUGGGCGUAAAGCGUGCGCAGGCGGCGCCGCAAGUCAGGCGUGAAAUCCCCGAGCUCAACUUGGGAAUUGCGCUUGAAACUACGGUGCUGGAGUAUGGCAGAGGGAGGUGGAAUUCCACGUGUAGCGGUGAAAUGCGUAGAUAUCUGGAGGAACACCGGUGGCGAAGGCGGCAUCCUGGACCGGCAUUGACGCUGAGGAGCGAAAGCCAGGGGAGCAAAGCGGG
rnacentral:rRNA from 1 species